AGUAUUUCAUUCAUCAAUAUAAAUAUAUGCAGAAAUGGCAGCUGAUCUUUGAAGGUAACAGCAGAAAUGAUGGUUUGAGAUGUUUCAGAGCUACACAAUGUAAGAAGGUGACCGUGCUGUUGUGUUGCAGGUGAGCAUCAGUCUGGACCGGUUGAUGUUGAAGUUAUAGUGAAGAUCCUGGGAAUCAUAAUGCUCGUCAGUACAAUGAUCAUCUUUGAAUGCUGGUUUAGAUCAAGACAUGCCACCAAACCAGUGAAGGACGCAGUAGAAGCAGACUAUGUCAACAGUGUGGUUGAGUUAAAACCAUCCUGAGUCACAAGGAGAGGAGG
rnacentral:lncRNA from 1 species